UCUGUGUUUAAAAAGGCGCUCGCCUUAUGCGCCAAGGCGCAAGGCGCACUCAGGCGAUAGCUCCAUCGCCAUGCACAUCCCAGGCGAGGGUAUGGUCCCUAAGGCGCUCGCCUAGUGCGCUUUGGCCAUAAGGCGGUGCCUUCAAAGGCGACGCAAAGGCGCGCGUUGGAGACCCUAUGUUAACCGACACUAAACCAGGUACGAAACCAAACCCUGCUUUAACUAAUUCACCAAUCUUAUAACAAAACUUCAAAAAUAUUCAUCAAAACCCUAGCUCCCUCUUCAAAGUUAAAACCAAAGGUCAAAAAUUCUCACAAAACAUAGAUCUCACAGUGUUUUGCUUAAGGUUAGAGUAUUAUCUACUCUUCUCUAGUCUCAUAGGUUCUUCUUCUUAUUAUUAUGACUACUUGUGUUUCUUGGUUACAGUCUAGAAUGCACUGCGAUUGCUUAUCUCUGUAAUUUUGGUGCUUCUUUUCUUUUAUACAGUAAGUGAUUGACGCUUACGUAAUUGACGCUUACUAGUAUAUUGUAGCUUGAGGACUCUUGUGAUCAAGUUGAUGUAUAAUCUUUGUUUGUAACUGAAACAAAUCUAAUAUAUAUUGAAAUUCAUUUUUAACAUGUAUUUUAUUGCUCUUUAUGGUAUAGUUUGUGUUUGCAUGUUCUUUACGUUAUUGAAUGCUUUAUUUGCAUGUUCAUCAUCAUAGUAAUUUUUUUUUUUUUUUUAUUAAUCACAGUUUCAAGUGGUCUUCAAGGCGAGCGCCUCGAUGCGCCAUGGCACAAGGCGCAAGGCACAUACUUCAUCGCCAUGGAGCGCCAUACGCCUUUUUAAACACAG
rnacentral:lncRNA from 1 species